rnacentral:sRNA from 1 species
CCCUAGCCCUGAUGGAAGCGGUAUCCUUUUAUGGCGGUCCCGAGGCUUCGGGAGACAUAAAAGAUAUAGCGUACAGCAGGAAAUAGC